UAGGAUGGUCAACCAUCCUGGUUUGCCUAGGACUGAGGGGUCUCUCCGGAAGUGGGAUUUCUU
rnacentral:miRNA from 1 species